GGAGUUAUGGCUCAGAGGUAGAGUGCUCACCUACCAUGAGUGAGGCACCAGGUUCGAUCCUCAGCACCG
rnacentral:tRNA from 1 species